GUCGGUCUGCCCGUGCAGCGACGAUUAUGCAUGCGUUCCUCUUCAGAUCUAGGCACAAGUGCCAUCUAGCCUUGGCCGAAACUCGGAUUUCCUGUGUUGCAUACCUACUCGAUGGAAUUUUCUUGUCGGAUAUCCAAUGGUCGCCUAAUGCCACCCUCGUCGGUGUUUGCGGGUGAUCCACGAAGCGAAAUUUGCGAUCCUCGAUGCAUAGUACUCGUACUCGUUGCUAUCGAGGCCCGCACUUCUUCGCUCGGACUGAGGGAUUCGGAACAUGCGGUGGGCAUUGGGUCUCUUGUAGACCCUUUUUUGCCACAAAAAUCGAAAUAUCAUCCGAACGACGUUCGACGGUGCGCUGUCAUUUGUUGCCACGCAUCUCGAUGUCUGCGAGGAAUGCUACCU
rnacentral:misc_RNA from 1 species